GUUUGCUUCAACAGCACAGAUAAUAAAAUUGCAACAAUACGGAGAUUAGCAUGGCCUCUGCGCAAGGAUGACACACAAAUUUGUGAAGGAUUUCAUAUUUUU